ACCAUUUUUUUCCUAAACCUAAUUUCUUUCCAAACCUCAUCAACCCCUUUCUUCUUCUUUCUAUCAACCGCCAAAACUCAACAACCACCAAAACUCUCACGCCUCCUCAUUCGAUCGACUCAACCCUCGUCUCUCAUUCUCUCAUAUCUCCAUUUCUGAACGGUGGUUAGACUCAUUCAACCAUCUUCUUCAUUCAGUCUCACAACCAUGAAUAUAAGCCAGCUUCGUCGUCUUCUUCUCGUCUUCGUAACUUCCGGCGCCGCUAGAUAACCACCACCAUCAUCGCCUUCGCUUGAAUCAAAGGUCUCGGAACACCAAUCACAUCCGAAGUACAUCAUUCCUCCAUUUCAACCGCGAUUUUGAUUCUUAACACAAAACCCUAGGUUCUUUACGGACAGAAUUGAACAUUCACCGUCACAAAUUGAGCUCAAUUCCUUGGGGGUUCGAUUCACCAUAGCAUAAGCUUCGUGUUGGUGACAAGAACUAAGCAAAGCGGUGAAGUAAAGAAUGAGUUCGGCAGUUACCUAUCAGAGAUUAACAAAUGCAAUUUCAACAACGACGAAGAGAAAAAGAAAACCAGAUGCUCCGCCUUUCAGGGUAAACCAAGAAAUAACACACAGAGAUGAUGUAACUUUUUGGCUGAUACUUUGUCAAUAGGCUUAUGAAUACUAGAACAUAGAUGUUUCAUAGGAGAUGACAAGGAGACUUUUGAGACAUUUGAAUCUAUGGAGUUUGGACUACUCUUUUUCUAGAGGAACUGCUCAUUUACUUGCAAAGAUCUUGACUAUCAACAAACUCUAAGGGGUACAACUUGCUGUUAACAACCAUGCAUGGUGAUUUUACUGUGUUUCAUUUCCAGUCAAAUUAUCUGGCUUUGCUUUCAGUGCCAACGGGUGGGGUCAAUCCUAUGGAUCCCACUAUGUCAAACAAGCAAUUAUCUAUGGUGAUGUGAGUCAUCCCAAGCCAAUGACUGUUUUCUGGUCUUCGACAGCUCAAAGUUUGACAAAACGACCUAUGAAGGGAAUGCUUACUGGCCCUGUUACAAUUCUGAACUGGUCCUUUGUUAGAGAUGACCAACCUUGAUUUGAGACUUGCUACCAAAUUGCGUUGGCUAUAAAGGAUGAGGUUGAGGAUCUUGAGAAAGCUAGCAUUACUGUCAUCCAAAUCGACGAGGCUGCUUUAAGAGAAGGUUUGCCUCUAAGGAAAUUUGAGGAGGCUUUCUAUCUAAACUGGGCAGUUCACUCAUUUAGGAUUACAAACUGUGGUGUGCAAGACACUACCCAGGUUCAACUUCACUUCACGGGCUCUAAUCUUCAUUAAUGAUUAUUAUGCAGUUUAUUUACUAAGCCUGUAUUAAUUCUAACAACAUUUCUACAAGAGGAUUACAACAAGUGUCAAAAUUGUGGAAAGUUCAGUCCAAAAAUCACUGAACCAUUCUUCGGAUGGUUUCACAUAGUAAAUUAUUUGUUUCUCUCCUUGAUGGAUUCUAUUUUUCAGAAAUUGGUAAUUUUUCUUCUUUUUCAUGUUAUUUCUCCAUAUUUGCUAUUUGGUUGAUGGUUCUAGGAAGCUCUAUCGGAUUCUCAAGCCAGAGAAAAUGAUAUUAAAGAAAGCGGUGCAUCUUUUGCAAGUGAAAGAAGUAGAAUAUUAUCUAAUAAGCUUAUUGAGAAAACUUCACUUUCUGGAUCUUUACUACCCUCCAUGGUUAUGGAAAUUCUACAGUUUUUGUGGGAGAAUGAAUCUAAGCUGUGCUCGUAGAUCAGUGACGUUCAAAAUCAAGGUUUUGGAAAGAAAGUCAGUCACUUAAUGUUCUUUCUGGAAAACAUUUUCGUUGCACCAAUCAAAUUCCGUCCCCAACCGAAAAUAGGUGAUAAUUUUGGAAGAUUUGUUUAGUCUCUUGUCUUUCUUGGGUGUUGAACCAUGGUGCAUCUGGCAGUGGUAUGUAAAAUAUUGGGCUAACUUGUAGCUAUUGUAAAUUUGAUCAUUGGUCAAGGGAAUUUUGAGGACAGUGAUGUUAAGAAGAACCAAGGACACAAAGGAUAAAGAAGGAAGGCCUAUACUUGUCCUGCCUCCAACUGAUAUUCAAUUGAUUGAGUGUGAACAGUCAGAAUCUGGACGGGACUUCUACGAUGCUCUCUUCCUGAGAUCUAAACAACAAUGUUUUAUGGUUUGUGGAUGUUCAAAUCUGUAUGAGAUGCAAUAUAUAUCAUGUUUCAAGCAUCAACCCUUAUGUUUAAGGCAUUUAGAUUAAUUAGGUCUUUCUAAUAAAUGUAGCUGAUCCAUUGUCUGGCUUGAAACUUGUUUGGGAGUGUGAUGCUAUAGUUCACCGCGUAGUUGAACACUCAUUCAAAUCCAAGAAAAUGGGAGGUAGUUUGGAACUCACUUUUUUCGGUUGUUAUCUUGUUUCAUUUCUAAUACUCCUUUGCAUUAAAUGUAAACGAUAUGUUUACUUGUGAUAGUGAGAUAUACAUUAUUACAAUCACUUGUUUUUGUGAGAUAUGCAUAUAAUGUAUAUAGAUUAUGAUAUGCAUGUAAUGUAUAUAGAUAAGACACUAAUGUGUUAUGGUUUAGGAGUGGUUUGAAUUGAAAGGGUGGUUGUAGGAAAUUUAUGAAAGAAUAUU